GACGAACGCUGGCGGCGUGCUUAACACAUGCAAGUCGAACGGAAAGGCCCUGCUUUUGUGGGGUGCUCGAGUGGCGAACGGGUGAGUAACACGUGAGUAACCUGCCCUUGACUUUGGGAUAACUUCAGGAAACUGGGGCUAAUACCGGAUAGGAGCUCCUGCUGCAUGGUGGUGGUUGGAAAUUUUCGGCGGUUGGGGAUGGACUCGCGGCUUAUCAGCUUGUUGGUGGGGUAGUGGCUUACCAAGGCUUUGACGGGUAGCCGGCCUGAGAGGGUGACCGGCCACAUUGGGACUGAGAUACGGACCAGACUCCUACGGGAGGCAGCAGUGGGGAAUAUUGCACAAUGGGCGGAAGCCUGAUGAAGCAACGCCGCGUGCGGGAUGACGGCCUUCGGGUUGUAAACCGCUUUCGCCUGUGACGAAGCGUGAGUGACGGUAAUGGGUAAAGAAGCACCGGCUAACUACGUG
rnacentral:rRNA from 1 species